GGAAACCAAUUUAUCUCCAUGAUAUCUUGCAAUCGAAGGAAGGAAGGAAGGAAGGAAGGAAGGAAGGAAGGCAGACCCCUAGCAAAGUUUCACGGCAACCAGCAUCCUCUUAAGGCAUACUCUUCAGGUGUCAACUUCAGGCUACAUGUCACCAGUGAGGACAAAGUAGGGUUCCUCUAGAUGAUACAAUGGGUAUGUACCCUUUCCUGAUGUUUUGUCAGUAUAUAAUCUAACAACAGCUUUUCUUCAACCGGAACUCACCAGAACUCAGUUGCAGCACCUCUCAAGUGGGAGCUAUUGCCAUUCUAAGCGAACAAGGGAGGAGUUCAUGGUGAGUUCUAGGACCUUUUUUUCAAAAUAAAUAGCACUGAAUCCAACCAUCAACAUGGUGCUUGCAAUUAUGGCUAUUUUGCUAGUAAAAUGGUAAUCACUUCUGUAUGAAACCUGCCCUCUAUUCCGCCCCCCCCCCCCCCCAGGUUUUCUUCCCUUACAAAAGUGGCUCCUGGUUUAUUUUAUUUUUAUCCUGCAUCUUUCUUGGAGUGCUUUAGAAUAUAUUUAGAAUAUCUUUAUACUUUUGGCAGCUGUAGGGUUAAGCUUCCCUCUCUGGUACAAUGUGGCUGAGGGUGGUGCUUACACCUUCCUUCCAUUCAGCCAUUUUUCUAGGGCUUUGUGUUCUCCUCAGAUGACCACACUUCCUGAUCCAAGGUGAGGAAGCACACAGGAAAAAGCUAUCACACAGUCUCUUCCCCUGGGCUUUAGUUGAAGCCCAAAGAAGCUGAUGAUUCUGGUUAUCAAGUGCAGGGAAGGCCAUAGCUCAGUGGUAGAGAACCUGCUUUGCAAGGACAAUGUUCCAGUUUCAUUCAUGGCACCUCCAGGCAGGGCUCAGCGAAACUCCUGCCUGCAUGCAAAAGCUGGGUAGCUGCUGCUAGUCAUUGUAGAUAAUACUAAGAUAGAUGGAUCAAUGCUGCUUCCUCUGCACCUAUAUGCACCUGAGAUCAGAGAAGUCUUUACUUUUAGUUUCUUUGGGGUGGAAAUCAAUCCACACUGACUUCUUUGAAAGAAAAAUAGAAUUUCCUCAACAAAACAGCAACCAACAGCUGCCAGAAACACAACUGACAAUUUCACUAGCUGCUUACAGAUAUGUCCUGCCCAAACUAUCAUAGGAUUUUCAGGAAGUGUGGGCUCCUGGGAAUGUUGACGAAUGCAGACCACCGGAGAGAUGAUUUGCAGAAGGAAGGAAGACCCUAAACCAUUUUGAAAUUAUGCUAUGCACAUGGAUAAAAAACACCCCACACUUGACCCAUGAGAAUUCCACCUACAAUUUCUCUCACCUUUCAUAAGUCUCAAGCAAAUUUAUUUCCUUCUUAAUUGAGGGAGAAUGGCAACACACACCAUUUUCAGCACAGCACUAAUUAUAAUACUUAGCAGACCUUUCAGACAGACAUCACAAGGAUGUGAGUGGGUGGAGACUAGAAGAAGCUUUUAAAAUGAUUUAUUGAAAUCAGGGCUUUCGAUGUUCAGUUAAUAGUCACAGGACAAACCUUUGACUGAAUAAAGCUUUGCCAAAGUAAAUCAAUUUGAGUUACUGUCCUCCUUCAUCUAUGCCUGAAUCUAGAAACAUGUUGCAUUCAUUGUUUGAACAUAUUUCAUAAUUCAACAGUUUGCUUCCUCCCCUUGCUUAGCUAUGGAUAUGUGUCAUUUUAUUUAUUUAUUUAUUAAAGCAAUUGCCUUGGCAGGAUGAAAUCUGGGAAUGUUUAGUCAGGAUGUUGAUUGCUCUUUUUGGAAACAUCUGGCCCAAUUAAAGUCAGGCUGUGGAUGCCAUCUCAUCUGAGUGGCACAGGGAGGUUAAUUUGAAUGUGCCCCAAAGGCAAAAAUCUGUUUGGUGCCUUUGGCGGUGGGGAGAGUCUAAUCAAUAAGAUACAUAUUUUUGUGAUGGAUGCACACUUUUUACAAAUAGAUAGAAACAGCUUGCCUCUUUUUGUUUCCAAAUAGGCCUCUGGAGUUUGAGCAUACUUUCAAUAGGCCAUGGCUGUGGAAUUUCCAAAUCCUGAAAAUUGAACGAUAUCUUAGGAAUCAGAGGUGCACCAAAGCAAGGCCUAUUGCAUCUAAUCAGGCACCCAAGUCAGCAUGUAUAGGAUUUCACCAUACAUUUUUGUCCUCGUGAUUUUUAAUUGCAUGAUAAUAUUUCAUUAUUAUUGUUAGCCACCCAGAGAAAUGGGCAGGGCUCUUCUUGUUUUCUUCUUUUAUGAAUUGGAACUAGUGGUGCUGCUCAGGGGAAGCUCAUGGAGGUGAGCCCCAAGUUUUUUACAGUACCCAGAUCCCAUGCCCCUUUCUCUUCCUUUUGUAACUGAAAAAAAUGAUUUUAUUAUUUAUACUUCAAAGUCCACCAUCUUCACUCACUGGAUACAUUUAUUGCGCAUCUAAUUAUCCAUAUGCAAAUUCUAUGCAAAUUUGACCAUGUCCUUAAAGUCCUUUAAGUAGUACCAAGUACCUAACACAGGGCUGCCACCCGUCGGGGCAGAAAUCAGUAAGAUGUCCAGGGAAAUCUGGUGAGACUUCGUCAAAAAAAAAAGAAAAAAGCUUAACAACUCUGGGCAAAACUUUAAAAAGCUCCACACUUUUUGAAAUAUGGCAACCCUAACCUAACAACACUGGUUGGAAUUCAGCUGAAAGGACGAAUGGCAUACCUAAGUGCAGUCUGGAGUGGAGCUAUGCACCGGAUGCUGGUUCUUCUUUUUACUAGCGCAGGUUGUGCACGGGUGAAUGGGACAUUGCAUUAGUUCCUCCUUACAUGCAGGAACAUGACUGGGAUGCCAAGUGUGGAUGCAGACAACUGCACACGUUUUUUGUUUUGAAAGACAACCUGACAUUGGGGACACAUGUAAAAGCAAGGCCCGCUGCAGUCUGCAGGAACAUAGGAGUACAGUGGUACCUCGGUUUAAGAACAGCCCUGUUUACGAACUAUUCAGUUUAUGAACUCUGCAAAACCGGUAGUAGUAUCCUGGUUUGCGAACUUUACCUCGGUCUAAGAACGGAAGCCAAACAGUGGAAUGGCACUGGCAGCGGGAGGCCUCAUUAGGGAAAGUGAGCCUUGGUUUAAGAACGGUUUUGGUUUAAGAACAGACUUCUGGAACAAAUUAAGUUCGUAAACCGAGGUACCACUGUAGUCUCAUAGUGAUAUAGGUUUGGGUCCCUUCCAAACCUGUUAUCCUUUGUUAAAGCAAUGGUAUCUUAAAGAGUUAGCUAAAAAGAGAUGUGUGGCCAUAGUGGCAACUGAACAUUCUUCCAGAAAGCGAUAGGCAUUUCUCCACCCACCUCAUUUGGCUGGAGACCAUGUCAUCCUAGGAAGGAAAACAAUAGGCCAAUGGAGUUAGUUUUUGUGUGUGGAUUUUGGCUGAUGCUGGAAGCUGGAGACACAGAUGCUUGUAGUGCUCUGUGAUGAACCCAAAACUCUGCUUUGGGGAUCCUCUGGGAAUUUAAUGGGGAGGCAAGAUCUGUUGCAGGGUUAAUGCUGUGAGCCCAUUCAACUUGUGCUCAGAUGUGUGUAUAUAUAUAUAUAUAUAUAUAUAUAUAUAUAUACACACACACACACACACACACACACACACACACACACAAAUUCAUAUGCUAUGCCCUAAAGACACCACAGUCUCAACUGACCUUCAUUCUAUGGAAACUGAAAUCUGAGUAAGUGCUAGAACCCCUGGACUCCCUUAUGCUCAGAGAUUGGGGUGUGUGCAACAAUAGGAAGCUGCCUUAUACUGAGUCAGAUGAUUGGUCCAUCUGACUCAGUGCUGUCUAUAGUGGCCCAGCAGCAGCUGUCCAGGGUUUCAGACAGGAAUCUCUCCCAGUUCUUCUUGAAGAUGCCAGGAAUUCAGCCUUGAAUCUUCUGCAUGCAAGGCAGGUGCUCUGCCACUUUGCUUUGGCCCUUCAUGUACUUGGAAAUGCCCUGCCCAUGAGUGACACAUGCAAAGGACAUGAAUUACAGACCAAAUGUAUGCUCUUUAUCUUGAAAGGCCUCUCUCUGCCCAUCUAAAUUAAAGUUGGUCAUUUGUUUGUGUGGUCUCCCAUCUCUCAGUAUGAUGUCAUCAAGUUCUAAAAAGACAUACUCCUGACUUUCUUUUUAGGCAACAAGAAUGGAGCCAUCCCUCUCAUAACCAAUUUUGAAGCUGAAAAUACCUUUAUACCUCAUUGGAAACUGACAGGUAACUGGCUGUUUUGAUCUUGAACAUCUUUUUGACUCUGCAUAUCAUAUUCUGUUGCGCUCAGGUGCACCUAUAACUAAGUUAAGUCUUAAAAGUUCUCUACCAGAAACAAAAAUUGUCUGAAUAGUAAUCAUAAUCAUAUCAUCCAAAACAAUAAGAUAAAAUCCAGAAAUCAACAUUUCAGCCACAGAACAGUGUGUGAAUGUGAAUGAGGGCCAAUUGGCUUAAUGUUCACACCUCUAUUGAGGAGAAUCUGUCCCCCCCCCCUCUUUUUUUUCUCUUUGAUGCAAGACAUCCAGAGUAGUCUAUGAACAAGCUUGAAGGCAACAUUGAUUUUGUGAUCUUUUCUUUUUCCUUGAGAGAAUUGCUAGUGCCAGCUAGUAAUUGCAUAGGGAGAAGUAUUGGAACGAUUUAUAUAUCCAGAGGAUUCCCUUCCUAUUUGUGGCUAAAAUGAACUAAAAACGUGUUUCCUCCCCCACACUUUCCCACCAGUGGGAUUGCUUCACAGAUACCUUAGAUGAUCUUCAGAAAACUGAUAAACCUGAGGACAGUUCAAUACAACCAGAGAUGUUGCAGCAUUGAAAUCCAUGCUGGAGACAUGAUACUAAGUGCC